CCUACGGGAGGCAGCAGUGGGGAAUUUUGCGCAAUGGGGGAAACCCUGACGCAGCAACGCCGCGUGAGUGAUGAAGGCCUUCGGGUCGUAAAGCUCUUUUAGUGGGGAAGAAGCCCACCCGGGCUAAUAUCUCGGGUGUCUGACGGUACCCACAGAAAAAGUUCCGGCUAACUACGUGCCAGCAGCCGCGGUAAUACGUAGGGAGCAAGCGUUGUUCGGAAUUAUUGGGCGUAAAGGGCGUGUAGGCGGUUGGGUAAGUCUGGUGUGAAAUGCUCUGGCUCAACCAGAGCGCUGCGCUGGAUACUGCCUGACUGGAAUUCGGAAGGGGUGACUGGAAUUCCCGGUGUAACGGUGAAAUGUGUAGAUAUCGGGAGGAACACCUGUGGCGAAGGCGGGUCACUGGUCCGACAUUGACGCUGAUACGCGAAAGCGUGGGGAGCAAACAGGAUUAGAUACCCUGGUAGUCCACGCUGUAAACGAUGAGUGCUAGGUGUAGGAGGUAUCGACUCCUUCUGUGCCGCAGCAAACGCAUUAAGCACUCCGCCUGGGGAGUACGGCCGCAAGGUUAAAACUUAAAGGAAUUGACGG
rnacentral:rRNA from 1 species